GUAGAUAAUUACAUACCUACUCGUUACAAAUAUCUAGGUAUUAAUUUAAUUUUGCAGUACAUACUGAAGGGAAGCAAAAAUGAAAUUUUUGUUUGUUGUGUUAUUUUUAGUUCAAUACUGUUUUAUUCGUCAUGUAGCCGGCUACUCUUUAAAACAAUUUGCUGGCGUUCUGACCGGGAAUCCUGACGACCUGCCUGCAUCAAAAGAUAAUUUGGCUGUUAUGACCGGUCUAAACCCAAGCGACACUCCAAAAGUUGAUGAAGGAUCCCCCAGGGCAAGUUUAUCUGAUCUUCCAUAUUUAUGGAAAAAGCUUUCGAACGACCAGAAGAAUGGAGUCCUCGCCGGACCAGGAGGUCAAGGCCCGUAAUAACAAAUGAUUAAAUACAUUCGACCGCCUGUCCAGUUGCCCUGUCUGUAUAAUUCUUUAUGCGCUAAUAGGGGCGAAUUCGCAAUGUAUUUGUUGUGCUGUUGACUGUAUUCGAAUCUAUUUAAGGUCAUUCUACGAUGGUGUAAACAAAAUAUAUUUUUAGUUUAUUUAUAUGUAUACUACUUCUUAACGGAAAUUAAAAACGUGAGAGAUUUAA